rnacentral:rRNA from 1 species
GAUGAACGCUGGCGGCGUGCCUAAUACAUGCAAGUCGAGCGAACAGACGAGGAGCUUGCUCCUCUGACGUUAGCGGCGGACGUGUGAGUAACACGUGGAUAACCUACCUAUAAGACUUGGAUAACUUCGUGAAACCUUAGCUAAUACCGGAUAAUAUAUUGAACCGCAUGGUUCAAUAGUGUAAGUCGUUUUUUCUGUCUCUUUUAGAUGUAUCCGCGCCGCAUUAGCUAGUUGGUAAGGUAACGGCUUACCAAGGCAACGAUGCGUAGCCGACCUGAGCGGGUGAUAGGGGAGAAUGGAACGGAGACACGGUCCAGACACAUACGGGAGGCAGCAGUAGGGAAUGUACCGAAAUGGGCGAAAGAUGGACGGAGCAAAGCCGCGUGAGAGAAGAAGGUAUACGGAUAGUAAAACUCUGUAAUUAGGGAAGAAAAAAAGUGUAAGAAACUAUGCACGAAAUGACGGUACCUAAACAGAAAGCAACGGCUAACUACGUG